GGAAGAAUGUCAAUCGGAGAUAGGGCGAGGGGAAGAAAGGCGUAAAGGUCAGGCGUGGCGAGGGCAACAAACUCGUUAAGAGUCACUUAUUUACCGGCGCGCUUGAAAUACGGUGUGAGGUGUUCAUUUUGUUAGUCAUAAAAACGUGGGGCAGGGGAAUGGACUCGAUUAAUCGUGUCUUGAAGUUGCCGAAGCAAAAGGGGGUGCAGUACUGGGAUACAACCUGCAGAGGCGCUGCUGAGUUGCAAGAAGGAUGAAAAGGCCACACAGAUGUCUGCAAAAUUUCUACUCGGUAUCCCGAUGGCAUCGAAACAGGAUUCAGUAACCAUCCUUACAUGUUUGAGACAAGCUCAGAACGGUAUAACGUUUCUUAAUACCCCACCUGCGCAGCUACGAAAGGUUUGACAACCUUGGACAACAACCAGCAUUCACAGAAUUACAGCUCGUGUUCCAUUUUGGAAAACGAGCGCGUGGUCGACUGGAGGCAAAUGAGUCCAAAUGGCCA